UACGGAGGAUGCGAGCGUUAUCCGGAUUUAUUGGGUUUAAAGGGUGCGCAGGCGGUCUGUUAAGUCAGCGGUCAAAGCCCGGGGCUCAACCCCGGCCCGCCGUUGAAACUGGCAGUCUCGAGUUGGAGAGAAGUAUGCGGAAUGCGCGGUGUAGCGGUGAAAUGCAUAGAUAUCGCGCAGAACUCCGAUUGCGAAGGCAGCAUGCCGGCUCCACACUGACGCUGAGGCACGAAAGCGUGGGUAUC
rnacentral:rRNA from 1 species